GACGAACGCUGGCGGCGUGCUUAACACAUGCAAGUCGAACGGAAAGGCCCUGCUUUUGUGGGGUGCUCGAGUGGCGAACGGGUGAGUAACACGUGAGUAACCUGCCCUUGACUUUGGGAUAACUUCAGGAAACUUGGGCUAAUACCGGAUAGGAGCUCCUGCUGCAUGGUGGGGGUUGGAAAGUUUCGGCGGGUGGGGAUGGACUCGCGGCUUAUCAGCUUGUUGGUGGGGUAGUGGCUUACCAAGGCUUUGACGGGUAGCCGGCCUGAGAGGGUGACCGGCGACAUUGGGACUGAGAUACGGCCCAGACUCCUACGGGAGGCAGCAGUGGGGAAUAUUGCCCAAUGGGCGGAAGCCUGAUGCAGAAACGCCGCGUGCGGGAUGACGGCCUUCGGGGUGUAAACAGCUUUCGCCUGUGACGAAGCGUGAGUGACGGUAAUGGGUAAAGAAGCACCGGCUAACUACGUG
rnacentral:rRNA from 1 species